CACUUAACGGCCCAUGGACGGCGU
rnacentral:siRNA from 1 species